GAAGAUGACAGAAGGCAGCAGAGUUACUCCUCCCACUGGGGAGCUACUUCAUCCAAAACACAGGAGAGAGAGGGACAAGUUGCAGCAGCCUGCACAGCUGAAUGAGAACACUGCUGAUGAUCUGUAGGAGCCAGAAGCUGCUUGAAGAUCUCUCCUCAAGGCUUCCUGCUUAAAUAAAGGAUCUGAGGAAAGGCUGCCCUGGCUUCAGGGCCUGCUCAGAGCUCUGGCAGUGCUGGAUGCAGAGCACAGAGUUCCAGAGGUGACCUGGAGCACAGAUCACUGCGGCUUAGCGGGAUGAGCUUAUGCCAAGCAUACACCUUUACCUCAAAGCUCAGUGAAUGACACCUUUGUAACAGCCUCUGCUUUCUGGACUGUGGAGACCAGGAGCCUGCUGAGCUGUCUGCUUGGGAAAGGGUAAGUACCAAACAUCCCUUUGCCUUCUUCAACCAGGGCAAAAAUUGUAU